rnacentral:misc_RNA from 1 species
ACCCUUGCUUUUUGUAGGCAGGUAUACUAUUACUGAAAAUAAUCCUCCAAACCACAAUUUCAAGGGAGAAUUGACACAUAUUUGUUUUUGUUGUAAGGGUGGAAAUGUAUGGCCAAAAUUUUAGCAGGCAGAGCGAAAUGGGACCGCACUUCUUUUCAUUGCUUGAUUUCUACACAAAUUAUUUUGUUUUAGUAGAAUGAUAUAUACGACGUUUGGGGGAUUAUUUUC